rnacentral:SRP_RNA from 2 species
GAAUCGGGUCCUACGCAACGAAAACUUAUGAACCGUGUCAGGCCUUGAUCGGAGCAGCACUAAGUAAGACCUUUCGUGUGCCGUAUGGAGUGCCUUAUUUGAGC